rnacentral:tRNA from 1 species
GACGGGGUGGCCGAGUGGACUAAGGCGGGGGACUCGAAAUCCCCUGGCGGGUUUUUCGCCCGCCCGUGGGUUCGAAUCCCACCCCCGUCG